UACGUAGGGUGCAAGCGUUAUCCGGAAUUAUUGGGCGUAAAGAGCUCGUAGGCGGUCUGUCGCGUCUGCUGUGAAAUCUGGGGGCUCAACCCCCAGCCUGCAGUGGGUACGGGCAGACUAGAGUGCGGUAGGGGAGAUUGGAACUCCUGGUGUAGCGGUGGAAUGCGCAGAUAUCAGGAGGAACACCGGUGGCGAAGGCGGAUCUCUGGGCCAUUACUGACGCUGAGGAGCGAAAGUGUGGGGAGCGAACAGG
rnacentral:rRNA from 1 species